rnacentral:lncRNA from 1 species
UCAUCCAGCAAGCAAUCCAGCACGAAAACAAGCACCGUGUGCCGCUGGUUUAAAAAUGUUUAGAAGCGUCUGAAGUGUCGAAGUGAUGAGUGUGUUCAUUUAAGAAGGUCUUCAUCAAGGUGUAUACAUCGUAAACAUAUAUUAAAAGAAAAAUUAACAUUUAAGGAAUUCGAGGACAUGGCCCUUGAGUAUUUGGCGUGGAAAUUAGGAUUAGUGGUUGAAAAAGUGCGUCGACUAACACGGCGUGUGGCAAGAAGGCGGUUAAGAGAUGCUCAGAACCCUUUUUACCUCCCACGAUGAAUUCAUCGACUAUUUUCGCCUUACUCCUGAACUGGUGUUGAUAGCCAUACAAUUUUAUGCGCAAGGCAGCUAUCAAAGAAGCGUUGGCAAUCAAUUCCAAUGGAUUGUUAGCCAAUCAACAACAAGCCGUUGCCUCCAUACCGUAACUGAAGCGAUUAAUCGGCGCUUGCUGCGUAGAUGGUAAAAUUUCCGAUGACCGAAGAAGAUCGACAGCAAGCGCGUGCAAAAUUCUCCGCUGCUACUUACCCAUUCGAAGGUGCUAUCGCUAUAGACUGUACUUUAUUCAUAUUAUAGCCCCUCAUGAAAAUGAAGAGGCGUUCAUUAAUCAUCACGGUCGCCAUUCUUUGAACGUGCAAGCGAUUGUUGAUCCAGAUAUGAAGCUGCUUAACAUCAAUCUACGAUAUCCAGGUGCACGAAACGACUCAUACAUCUGGAGUACAUCACCAAUUCGUCGAGCAAUGGAAUUUCAUUAUAAUCGAGGAGAACGGAGAACUUGGCUGAUCGGCGAUGCUAGAUACUCUUUGGAACCAUGGCUCAUGACACCAUUGGCCGAUUUUCCUGAAGAUACCUGACAAUUUCAUUAU